rnacentral:rRNA from 1 species
UACGGGGGGGGCAAGCGUUGUUCGGAAUUACUGGGCGUAAAGGGCUCGUAGGCGGCCAACUAAGUCAGAGGUGAAAUCCCUCGGCUUAACCGGGGAACUGCAUCUGAUACUGGAUGGCUUGAGUUCGGGAGAGGGAUGCGGAAUUCCAGGUGUAGCGGUGAAAUGCGUAGAUAUCUGGAGGAACGCCGGUGGCGAAAGCGGCGCACUGGAUCUCUACUGACGCUGAGGCGCGAAAGCCAGGGGAGCAAACGGG